rnacentral:rRNA from 1 species
UACGAAGGGGGCUAGCGUUGCUCGGAAUUACUGGGCGUAAAGCGCACGUAGGCGGAUUGUUAAGUCGGGGGUGAAAUCCUGGAGCUCAACUCCAGAACUGCCUUCGAUACUGGCGAUCUCGAGUUCGGGAGAGGUGAGUGGAACUGCGAGUGUAGAGGUGAAAUUCGUAGAUAUUCGCAAGAACACCAGUGGCGAAGGCGGCUCACUGGCCCGGUACUGACGCUGAGGUGCGAAAGCGUGGGGAGCAACAGG